rnacentral:tRNA from 2 species
AAUGAAAUGCCUGAUUAAAGGAUUAUUUUGAUAGAAUAAAUCAUGUAUUUAAAUACUUUCAUUA